rnacentral:sRNA from 1 species
AUUUCACUGUCACGACUAAUGACAAAUCUAUAAAUUAUAGAGCUCUCAUUAGUCGCGCGAAACAUGAGAUAUAAUCUUUUACUUUUUCGAACCCUGUAUUAUAUCAGAGCCCUAAUUUUUCACAACGAAAAAGAGGCCUAAGCCUCUUUUC